GACGAACGCUGGCGGCGUGCUUAACACAUGCAAGUCGAACGGAAAGGCCUCUUUCGGGGGGUACUCGAGUGGCGAACGGGUGAGUAACACGUGAGUAACCUGCCCUUUACUUUGGGAUAACUUCAGGCAACUGGGGCUAAUACCGGAUAGGAGCUCCUGCUUCAUGGUGGGGGUUGGAAAGUUUCGGCGGUUGGGGGUGGACUCGCGGCGUAUCAGCUUGUUGGUGGGGUAGUGGCUUACCAAGGCUUUGACGGGUAGCCGGCCUGAGAGGGUGACCGGCCACAUUGGGACUGAGAGAAGGCCCAGACGCCUAAGGGAGGAAGCAGUGGGGAAGCUUGCACAAUGGGUGGCAGCCGGAUGCAGCAACGCCGUGGGCGGGAUGACGGUCUUCGGGUUGGAAACCGCUUUCGCUCAUGACGAAGCUUUGUGUGACGGUAGUGGGUAAAGAAGCACCGGCUAACUACGUG
rnacentral:rRNA from 1 species